AGCAUUGGCCGCGGAAAGAUCAAAAGACCCCUAUUUCUGUUCCGUCUAUUUGAAAAUCAAAUUUAUGUGAAUUCAUUCAUUCAUUCAUUCCUGCAAAUCUCCCUCACAUCUUGCCUCCAUCUCUCACACGUUUGAGUGCGUGUAUUUUCGGAAAAUGGGGAUCCCGACGAAGUCUGAACAAGAACACAAGGUAUCUUCUUCAUCUUCUUUUCCCCCUUGUGGUUUCCUGUUAUGACGAUCUUGGAAAUGCAGGCUCCGUUUAUUGGAGAAGAAUUGGGAUGAUAGAGUGCUUUUCAGUUAUUUGAUUAGUUAUUCGUUGCAUUUGAUUUGAAGAGACUUUUGGAUUGUAGUUCCAAUAAUUGGCCUGUAAUUCGGAAAUUGGAUUUUAGUUUGAGGGAUUUGGGUUGAUAAUGUAAUGAUUGGUUUAGGGUUUAGCGUCUCGUCGAUUUUACAGAAUGUACUUGUGAAAAUUGCAAUUGUUUGUAAUAACAAGACUAAGUUAAAUUGUUUGUA